CCUACGGGAGGCAGCAGUGGGGAAUAUUGGACAAUGGGGGGAACCCUGAUCCAGCCAUGCCGCGUGUGUGAAGAAGGCCCUCGGGUUGUAAAGCACUUUCAGUGAGGAAGAACGCCUGGUGGUUAAUACCCAUCAGGAAAGACAUCACUCACAGAAGAAGCACCGGCUAACUCCGUGCCAGCAGCCGCGGUAAUACGGAGGGUGCGAGCGUUAAUCGGAAUUACUGGGCGUAAAGCGCGCGUAGGUGGCUUGAUAAGCCGGUUGUGAAAGCCCCGGGCUCAACCUGGGAACGGCAUCCGGAACUGUCAAGCUAGAGUGCAGGAGAGGAAGGUAGAAUUCCCGGUGUAGCGGUGAAAUGCGUAGAGAUCGGGAGGAAUACCAGUGGCGAAGGCGGCCUUCUGGGCUGACACUGACACUGAGGUGCGAAAGCGUGGGUAGCAAACAGGAUUAGAUACCCUAGUAGUC
rnacentral:rRNA from 1 species